AACCUAGCACACCUGCGGUGUGUACCUGCGGAAGGAUCAUCAUCGAAUUCAUAUCCCCCUCCUCUCCCGGAGGGGGACCUAUGAUAAGCCCUUCUGUGCACCGUUAAACCGUUCACUUUGGCAGGCUUUGGUGGCACACCUCCAACCUCGCGUGUUACGCGUGGCGGCCUGCCAGAGUCUCCCAUUAAAAACACGUUUUCGAACACGUCUGAAAAUUUCCUUUGAGAAAUCAAAGAACCG
rnacentral:misc_RNA from 1 species